GGGCUUAUAGCGCAGUGGUAGCGCGCACGCUUUGCAUGUGUGAGGUCCGGGGUUCAAUCCCCCGUGAGUCCA
rnacentral:tRNA from 1 species